GGGCCCGCACAAGCGGUGGAGCAUGUGGUUUAAUUCGAUGAUACGCGAGGAACCUUACCAGGGCUUAAAUGUAGGAUGCAUUAGCUAGAGAUAGCUAUUUCUUCGGACUUCUUACAAGGUGCUGCAUGGUUGUCGUCAGCUCGUGCCGUGAGGUGUCAGGUUAAGUCCUAUAACGAGCGCAACCCCUAUUUUAGUUGCUAACAGGUCAAGCUGAGGACUCUAGAGAGACUGCCGGUGCAAACCGUGAGGAAGGUGGGGAUGACGUCAAAUCAUCACGGCCCUUACGUCCUGGGCUACACACGUGCUACAAUGGCUAAGACAAAGAGUUGCGAGCUCGCGAGAGUCAGCUAAUCUCAUAAACUUAGCCUAAGUUCAGAUUGUAGGCUGCAACUCGCCUACAUGAAGUUGGAAUCGCUAGUAAUCGC
rnacentral:rRNA from 1 species